GGGGGUAUAGCUUAGAGGUAGAGUGUGUGCUUAGCAUGCACGAGGUCCUGGGUUCAAUCCUCAGUACCUCCG
rnacentral:tRNA from 1 species